UACAGAGGUCUCAAGCGUUGUUCGGAAUCACUGGGCGUAAAGGGUGCGUAGGCGGCCUGGUAAGUCAGAGGUGAAAUCCCGGAGCUCAACUUCGGAAUUGCCUCCGAUACUGCCAUGCUUGAGGACUGGAGAGGAGAUUGGAAUUCACAGUGGAGCAGUGAAAUGCGUAGAUAUUGUGAGGAACACUAGUGGCGAAGGCGAAUCUCUGGACAGUUCCUGACGCUGAGGCACGAAGGCCAGGGGAGCAAACGGG
rnacentral:rRNA from 1 species